rnacentral:rRNA from 1 species
UGCCAGACUCCUACGGGAGGCAGCAGUGAGGAAUAUUGGUCAAUGGGCGCAAGCCUGAACCAGCCAAGUCGCGUGAGGGAAGACGGCCCUACGGGUUGUAAACCUCUUUUGCCGGGGAGCAAGCCUGAGCACGUGUGCCCAGGCGGAGAGUACCCGGAGAAAAAGCAUCGGCUAACUCCGUGCCAGCAGCCGCGGUAAUACGGAGGAUGCGAGCGUUAUCCGGAUUUAUUGGGUUUAAAGGGUGCGCAGGCGGGCUGUUAAGCCGGCGGUAAAAAUUCAGGGCUCAACCCUGUCGAGCCGUCGGAACUGGCAGUCUUGAGUACAGUAGAGGUGGGCGGAAUUCGUGGUGUAGCGGUGAAAUGCUUAGAUAUCACGAAGAACUCCGAUUGCGAAGGCAGUUCACUGGACUGCAACUGACACUGAGGCUCGAAAGUGUGGGUAUCAAACAGGAUUAGAUACCCUAGUA